AUUUCCUAUUUAAUAACAGAGAAAGGAAAUGAACCGGCUUUGACAAUCAGAAGGCUGGAUUGCCAUGUUGAUUGGCAGUGGUCGGAUGAUGUCUAUUAUUGUAUCAUCAAAUUCCCUGAUGUUUUCCUCUCUGGCCUGCAUUCUGCUGUUAAGCCCAUCUCCAUUGAGGUUUCUAUUUUGGUUCUAUGAUAUAACAGUGAGCCUGGAAAACUGGCCUGAAUCAAAUGAGAAUUAAAACCUGCCAGAAUGCUUAAGCGACCAUGGCCCGGAGGUUUCUCUCCAGCUCUGCUUCUCCCUCCCUGUCUCUGGAGGCUGCUGCAGCAUCAGACUCAAGCCCAGGAGUGAAGGCAAAGGAGAUCUUCCUUCAGAGACUCCACAUGGGCCUCCAGAUCAGAUUUGCACAGGGUCAGUUCCUCCAGGAUCCCAUGCAGGCUGCUGAUGUCAGCCUCUAACAGCUGGCGAAGGGACAGUUCACUCUCGUACCUUUCACAGCAAAAGAGAAAUCCAACGCUUACUUUGCUGAACGCUGUGCAAAGUGUGGGGAUACAUGGAGGAUCGACACACGGACUUCAGGAAGCCAUGUGCAUAAUUUCUCUUAAUUCCUAAGUAAUGAUAAAUUCAAGCUUUUAAAACAUUCUUAACUUUAAAAUAUUAUAUAGAGAAUAUUUGUGUGUGUGUGUGUGUGUGAGAGAGAGAGAUUGAGAGAGAGAGAGCCAUAAGUUAUUUUCAAAUUAAAAUUAAAGCCGGGCGUGGUGGCUCAUGCCUGUAAUCCCAGCACUUUGGGAGGCCAAGGCGGGCAGAUCACCUGAGGUCAGGAGUUCGAGACCAACCUGGCCCACAUGGUGAAACCCUGUCUCUACUAAAAAUACAAAAAUUAGCUAGGUGUGGCGGUGCACGCCUGCCUGUAAUCCCGGCUACUCAGGAGGCUGAGGCAGGAGAACCACUUGAACCCAGGAGGCAGAGGUUGCAGUGAGCUGAGAUAGCACCAUUGAGCUCUAGCCUGGGUGACAAGAGUGAAACUCCAUCUCAAAAUAAAUAAAUAAAAUAAAAUUAAAUUAAACUUACUUUGACUUAAAGUCAUCAGUGGCCAGUUUGCAGUUGUCAAGCUGUACAGCAAGUCUAGAAUUCUCUGCUUUCGUGCAUAAGAUCUGGGAAGCAAGUCAUUAUGUGAUAAAUGAUUCUUUGAGAGAAACCUAAGUAAACUUCUAUCCAACAGCUAUGCCAUUAGCUAUCUUUUGAAAGUCUUUAUAAGAAAGUAUAAAAUCACCCUCAGCCUGCUUUUUUUUAUUAACCUUGUCACUUCAUGAAGAAAAAAAGCAGAGCCAAUUUAGAAACAAAAUAAUGAAAUAAAAAGGUUUAGUUUUUUAAUAACAUAAGACAUUUUGCAACAUUCUCAGGCAGUUGAACACCAUUAAUGUUUUCUCCAUCAGUAGUUUGUAUUAUGAGUAUAUCCUCUCCCAUAAUAAUAGAAAUUCAUGGAGAGAAGAAAAUGAUUACUAGGUAGUUAAAAAGAUGGCAUUUCAUGAUCUGUGUUCAGAUAAUGUAAAUGUUCAGUGUCACGUACAAAAGCGAUUUUGGAUAUAAUACAGUUUUUCUGCAUUCUAUAGAUGAUGAAGGAAAAGUCUACAGGCAAGUUACUUUAUUAUAGUCACUCAGUAAUCAGGGGUAGCUCUGGGGCUGAUGCUGAGGUUUUCUGACUUUCAGUCCGGUGCUCUCCCCUAUGUAUCACUAACUCUUAGAAUUUUCCUUUCCCUUGGUUUCCUUCUGUAAAACAGCCCCUUCUAGUAGAAAGAUAAAGCAAACCAUAGAUCAGGAAGGUGGAGCACUAGGGCAACAGGACACAGACCUUUUGUUGGAGAUCUUCAAUGGUGUUGAAG